GUUAGAGAAGGAGUGAGUGAGUGUUGCAUUUUCACAAGUGGGAAGAAGAACAGAACGAAGUGUGAGCUUCUGGGAACAGAGACAUCAUGAGUCUACAGUGGACGGCUGUCGCAACCUUUCUGUAUGUGGAAGUGUUUUUAGUGUUGCUGCUGUGCAUUCCCUUCAUUUCCCCCACAAGGGAGAAGUUUCUUUAUUGAGAUUCACUUUGGAUUUAAGAAAAGAUGGAGCUGCCCUUAUGGUAGGUGUAGGUGAGAUGAGCAAAAACCAUUUAAACUGCCAAAUCCUUUGCACUUUACCCCACUUCUUGGACUCUUUGAGAUUAUAGACGGCAAUUAGUGUGUAUUUGGCACAAGUGCUACACAGGAGCAGUGUCUCCCCCUCGCUUGCACCUCAUUCAUUUGGCCUGGGCUCCUGGGGGAGUUGGAUAGACUUUGAUGGGGACUCGGAUAGGAGGCAGGGUGCUCCUUCCUGGAGGAUAUGUGCCAUUCUUUUAUCUUCUUUUACUGGUUGUAGCACAAACUGAUACAAUAAAACUUGUGGUUGUUUAAUAUGUUCAUUUGUGUUAAGUUUUAUGUUUAAUAAAUAACUUUGUCUGCUGGGUCUGGACUGAGAUUCAAAAUAGGCCCUUGCAUUUCAGCUACACAGAGGCCCAAACAGCACCUCACCAGCCCAAUAAAUAGUGCCUGUCUAUGGCAACAGCAGCACCUCUGGCAUUUGCCAGAACCCACAGAUUGCCAGUCCAGGACUGCUAGCCGCUGCCUGGUCUCCAGUUAUUUGGGGGAGAGGGACAAGAGGUAAUGCCGACUAGAUGGUGUAUUUGUUGGGAACCAGUGUGAGAAUAAAAAUUUAAUAUUAACUUCAUUUCAUGGAACUAAUGAUCUUUGUUUUUUUAAAGGUAUUACUUAAUUUGUUUUAUAAACAAUAAACAUUAAGAAAAUAAA